CCAAUAGCGUAUAUUAAAGUUGUUGCAGUUAAAAAGCUCGUAGUUGAAUUUCGGAAUCAAUAUAUCGGUCGUGCCUCUGGUACGCACUUAUUUAUUGAUUUCUCACUUCUGACGAAUCAUAAUGUCAUUAGUUUGGUGUUAUGAGGAAUCAGGACUGUUACUUUGAAAAAAUUAGAGUGUUUAAAGCAGGCUCGCGCUUGAAUACAUUAGCAUGGAAUAAUGAAAUAGGAUGUUUGAUCUUAUUUUGUUGGUUUCUAGGAUCGACAUAAUGAUUAAUAGGGAUAGUUGGGGGCAUUAGUAUUCAAUUGUCAGAGGUGAAAUUCUUGGAUUUAUUAAAGACUAACUACUGCGAAAGCAUUUGCCAAGGAUGUUUUCAUUAAUCAAGAACGAAAAUUAGGGGAUCGAAGGCGAUCAGAUACCGUCGUAGUCUUAACCAUAAACUAUGCUGACUAGGGAUCAGAUGAUGUUAUUUUUUAAUAACUCAUUCGGCGCCUUACG
rnacentral:misc_RNA from 1 species